UACAGAGGGUGCGAGCGUUAAUCGGAAUUACUGGGCGUAAAGGGCUCGUAGGCGGCCAACUAAGUCGGACGUGAAAUCCCCUCGGCUUAACCGGGGAACUGCGUCUGAUACUGGAUGGCUUGAAUCCGGGAGAGGGAUGCGGAAUUCCAGGUGUAGCGGUGAAAUGCGUAGAUAUCUGGAGGAACACCGGUGGUGAAGGCGGCAUCCUGGACCGGCAUUGACGCUGAGGAGCGAAAGCCAGGGGAGCAAACGGG
rnacentral:rRNA from 1 species